rnacentral:rRNA from 1 species
GAGCAUAUCAAUAAGCGGAGGAAAAGAAACCAACAGGGAUUGCCUCAGUAACGGCGAGUGAAGCGGCAACAGCUCAAAUUUGAAAUCUGGCCCCAGGCCCGAGUUGUAAUUUGCAGAGGAUGCUUUUGGUGCGGUGCCUUCCAAGUUCCCUAGAACGGGACGCCAGAGAGGGUGAGAGCCCCGUACAGUUGGACACCAAGCCUUUGUAAAGCUCCUUCGACGAGUCGAGUAGUUUGGGAAUGCUGCUCAAAAUGGGAGGUAUAUUUCUUCUAAAGCUAAAUACCGGCCAGAGACCGAUAGCGCACAAGUAGAGUGAUCGAAAGAUGAAAAGCACUUUGAAAAGAGGGUUAAACAGCACGUGAAAUUGUUAAAAGGGAAGCGCUUGUGACCAGACUUGCGUCCGGUGAAUCACCCAGCUCUCGCGGCUGGGGCACUUCGCCGGCUCAGGCCAGCAUCAGCUCGCUGUCGGGGACAAAAGCUUCAGGAACGUAGCUCUCUUCGGGGAGUGUUAUAGCCUGUUGCACAAUACCCUUCGGCGGGCUGAGGUACGCGCUCCGCAAGGAUGCUGGCAUAAUGGUCAUCAGCGACCCGUCUUGAAACACGGACCAAGGAGUCAACCUUAUGUGCGAGUGUUCGGGUGUCAAACCCCUACGCGUAAUGAAAGUGAACGCAGGUGAGAGCUUCGGCGCAUCAUCGACCGAUCCUGAUGUUCUCGGAUGGAUUUGAGUAAGAGCAUAUAGGGUUGGACCCGAAAGAAGGUGAACUAUGCGUGUAUAGGGUGAAGCCAGAGGAAACUCUGGUGGAGGCUCGCAGCGGUUCUGACGUGCAAAUCGAUCGUCAAAUAUGCGCAUGGGGGCGAAAGACUAAUCGAACCUUCUAGUAGCUGGUUUCCGCCAA